GAGUCGGGAGAGGGAUGCGGAAUUCCAGGUGUAGCGGUGAAAUGCGUAGAUAUCUGGAGGAACACCGGUGGCGAAGGCGGCAUCCUGGACCAAUUCUGACGCUGAGUGAGCGAAAGCCAGGGGAGCAAACGGGAUUAGAUACCCCGGUAGUCCUGGCCCUAAACGAUGAAUGCUUGGUGUGGCGGGUAUCGAUCCCUGCCGUGCCGAAGCUAACGCAUUAAGCAUUCCGCCUGGGGAGUACGGUCGCAAGGCUGAAACUCAAAUGAAUUGACGG
rnacentral:rRNA from 1 species